GAUGAACGCUGGCGGCGUGCCUAAUACAUGCAAGUCGAGCGAACGGACGAGAAGCUUGCUUUUCUGAUGUUAGCGGCGGACGGGUGAGUAACACGUGGAUAACCUACCUAUAAGACUGGGAUAACUUCGGGAAACCGGAGCUAAUACCGGAUAAUAUUUUGAACCGCAUGGUUCAAAAGUGAAAGACGGUCUUGCUGUCACUUAUAGGUGGAUCCGCGCUGCAUUAGCUAGUUGGUAAGGUAACGGCUUACCAAGGCAACGAUGCAUAGCCGACCUGAGAGGGUGAUCGGCCACACUGGAACUGAGACACGGUCCAGACUCCUACGGGAGGCAGCAGUAGGGAAUCUUCCGCAAUGGGCGAAAGCCUGACGGAGCAACGCCGCGUGAGUGAUGAAGGUCUUCGGAUCGUAAAACUCUGUUAUUAGGGAAGAACAUAUGUGUAAGUAACUGUGCACAUCUUGACGGUACCUAAUCAGAAAGCCACGGCUAACUACGUGCCAGCAGCCGCGGUAAUACGUAGGUGGCAAGCGUUAUCCGGAAUUAUUGGGCGUAAAGCGCGCGUAGGCGGUUUUUUAAGUCUGAUGUGAAAGCCCACGGCUCAACCGUGGAGGGUCAUUGGAAACUGGAAAACUUGAGUGCAGAAGAGGAAAGUGGAAUUCCAUGUGUAGCGGUGAAAUGCGCAGAGAUAUGGAGGAACACCAGUGGCGAAGGCGACUUUCUGGUCUGUAACUGACGCUGAUGUGCGAAAGCGUGGGGAUCAAACAGGAUUAGAUACCCUGGUAGUCCACGCCGUAAACGAUGAGUGCUAAGUGUUAGGGGGUUUCCGCCCCUUAGUGCUGCAGCUAACGCAUUAAGCACUCCGCCUGGGGAGUACGACCGCAAGGUUGAAACUCAAAGGAAUUGACGGGGACCCGCACAAGCGGUGGAGCAUGUGGUUUAAUUCGAAGCAACGCGAAGAACCUUACCAAAUCUUGACAUCCUUUGACAACUCUAGAGAUAGAGCCUUCCCCUUCGGGGGACAAAGUGACAGGUGGUGCAUGGUUGUCGUCAGCUCGUGUCGUGAGAUGUUGGGUUAAGUCCCGCAACGAGCGCAACCCUUAAGCUUAGUUGCCAUCAUUAAGUUGGGCACUCUAAGUUGACUGCCGGUGACAAACCGGAGGAAGGUGGGGAUGACGUCAAAUCAUCAUGCCCCUUAUGAUUUGGGCUACACACGUGCUACAAUGGACAAUACAAAGGGCAGCGAAACCGCGAGGUCAAGCAAAUCCCAUAAAGUUGUUCUCAGUUCGGAUUGUGGUCUGCAACUCGACUACAUGAAGCUGGAAUCGCUAGUAAUCGUAGAUCAGCAUGCUACGGUGAAUACGAUCCCGAGUCU
rnacentral:rRNA from 1 species